rfam:Schistosoma curassoni strain Dakar, Senegal genome assembly, scaffold: SCTD_contig0000779
ACCUUGCUGACGAGUGUCAAGUAGCACGAAACCCGGGUCCAAGGU